rnacentral:rRNA from 1 species
CAGCGCCACGAGUGGGAACCAGCUUUAUUUGGCCUAAAGCGUCCGUAGCUGGUUUAGUAAAUCCUUUGUGAAAUCAUCGAGCUUAACUCGAUGUCAUGCAGGGGACACUGCUAAACUCGAAACCGGGAGGAGUCUGAGGUAUUCUAGGGGGAGCGGUAAAAUGCUAUAAUCCCUAGAGGACCACCUGUGGCGAAGGCGUCAGACUAGAACGGAUUUGACAGUGAGGGACGAAAGCCAGGGGAGCGAUCCGGAUUAGAUACCCGAGUAGUCC